rnacentral:rRNA from 1 species
GAUGAACGCUGGCGGCGUGCCUAAUACAUGCAAGUCGAGCGAACAGACGAGAGUGCUUGCACUCUCUGACGUUAGCGGCGGACGGGUGAGUAACACGUGGGUAACCUACCUAUAAGACUGGGAUAACUUCGGGAAACCGGAGCUAAUACCGGAUAAUAUUUAGCUUCGCAUGAAGCAAUAGUGAAAGGCGGUUCUGCUGUCACUUAUAGAUGGACCCGCGGUGUAUUAGCUAGUUGGUGGGGUAACGGCUCACCAAGGCAACGAUACAUAGCCGACCUGAGAGGGUGAUCGGCCACACUGGGACUGAGACACGGCCCAGACUCCUACGGGAGGCAGCAGUAGGGAAUCUUCCGCAAUGGACGAAAGUCUGACGGAGCAAUGCCGCGUGAGUGAAGAAGGUUUUCGGAUCGUAAAACUCUGUUGUAAGGGAAGAACAAGUACGUUAGUAACUGAACGUACCUUGACGGUACCUUACCAGAAAGCCACGGCUAACUACGUG